rnacentral:rRNA from 1 species
CCUAACACAUGCAAGUCGAACGGAGUCGUUUUGGAAAUCUCUUCGGAGAUGGAAUCUCGACUUAGUGGCGGACGGGUGAGUAACGCGUGAGCAAUCUGCCUUUAAGAGGGGGAUAACAGUCGGAAACGGCUGCUAAUACCGCAUAAAGCAUCAAAUUCGCAUGUUUUUGAUGCCAAAGGAGCAAUCCGCUUUUAGAUGAGCUCGCGUCUGAUUAGCUGGUUGGCGGGGUAACGGCCCACCAAGGCGACGAUCAGUAGCCGGACUGAGAGGUUGAACGGCCACAUUGGGACUGAGACACGGCCCAGACUCCUACGGGAGGCAGCAGUGGGGAAUAUUGGUCAAUGGGCGAUAGCCUGAACCAGCCAAGUAGCGUGAAGGAUGACUGCCCUAUGGGUUGUAAACUUCUUUUAUAAAGGAAUAAA